GACGAACGCUGGCGGCGUGCUUAACACAUGCAAGUCGAACGGAAAGGCCCUGCUUUUGUGGGGUGCUCGAGUGGCGAACGGGUGAGUAACACGUGAGUAACCUGCCCUUGACUUUGGGAUAACUUCAGGAAACUGGGGCUAAUACCGGAUAGGAGCUCCUGCUGCAUGGUGGGGGUUGGAAAGUUUCGGCGGUUGGGAAUGGACUCGCGGCUUAUCAGCUUGUUGGUGGGGUAGUGGCUUACCAAGGCUUUAACGGGUAGCCGGCCUGAGAGGGUGACCGGCCACAUUGGGACUGAGAUACGGCCCAGACUCCUACGGGAGGCAGCAGUGGGGAAUAUUGCACAAUGGGCGGAAGCCUGAUGCAGCAACGCCGCGUGCGGGAUGACGGCCUUCGGGUUGUAAACCGCUUUCGCCUGUGACGAAGCGUGAGUGACGGUAAUGGGUAAAGAAGCACCGGCUAACUACGUG
rnacentral:rRNA from 1 species